UGGUUGUAUAUUAUGCAUGACUUUUUAAUGAACUAUGUUACUAUGCUAAGGCUAUAAUUGGGGCAUCUGUUUCUGUGACUCCAAUAUGGCUUCUGAUAACACAGAAUUUAUUCGGGAAAAAAGGAAUCAAAAAUUUUGCAGACAAAUCUUUAUUUUAAUACAUAAGACAGAGUACAGAAAAGUAUAAAAGUAUUUUUUCAUGUCAUUACACUUUCCUCUAAGCUAAACAUAUAUGACAGAAUAGAAUAGAAUAGAAUAUUUUAUUUACCAAAUUAGGGCCCCAGGAGGGCAUAUGAUACAGACAAUAUUAUUAUAAACAAUAACAUAUGCAAUACACACACAGUAAAGAUAUGUAACAAGUGUUAUAAAAAUAAUAAAAUAAAAUAAUAUAACACAGAAAAUACACUCAACGAAAUAGUAGCAAUGUAUUAUUAUUCAAUGAAUACUAUGUUGAAAAUGACUCAAGUGCACCCGGUAAGUGUAUCUUCACUUUGAGAAGACAAACAUGAGGCAUUAGUAGUUUGUGCGGAGAAAUGUCAAUAUAUAAAAAUACAAAAAGAACCCAAUAAAAAACAAAGCAAUUAAGCACUCCCACAUUUGACUAUGAGGUAUACUGCAAAUAACAAAGUUUAUUUAAUAAAGGAUAUUUAAUAUGACUUAUCUGCAGAAAGCACCAAGAGUCGGUGCUUAAAGGGGAGUCCCUACUUGUACUUAAUGCAGAUGAGUCAAGCUCCUUAAUUAUUGAAAAUAUAUUUUUAAAACAUAUUUCUAAGAUUAUAGAUUCUGUGUCCAGCCAGCAAAGAUCAUCAAGGGACGGUGCCAAAGAAUUUGAAAUUCUUCUUAUGAUCUGUGCAGGCUUAACAGGGUAUCCAAAUUCAUAUUAAAGAGUUAUAAUGAAUUAGUUAUUGCAGAUUAAGUUGUACUUUAAUUCUUAAGUAUCUUCUAUAUAUUUGUAAAAUGCAAA
rnacentral:lncRNA from 1 species